rnacentral:rRNA from 1 species
AACCAACGCUAGCGGCGUGCCUCAGACAUGCAAGUCGAACGAUUAAGACUUCCUUCGGGAGGUGCAUAAAGUGGCGCACGGGUGAGUAACACGUAAGUAAUCUACCCUCGAGUGGGGAAUAACGUUCGGAAACGAACGCUAAUACCGCAUAACGCAGCGGCACCGCAAGGUGACAGUUGUUAAAAGGGCAAUCCGCUUGAGGAGGAGCUUGCGGCAGAUUAGCUAGUUGGUAAGGUAAUGGCUUACCAAGGCUACGAUCUGUAUCCGGUCUAAGAGGACGGUCGGACACACUGACACUGAAUAACGGGUCAGACUCCUACGGGAGGCAGCAGUCGGGAAUUUUGGGCAAUGGGCGAAAGCCUGACCCAGCAACGCCGCGUGAAGGAUGAAGUAUUUCGGUAUGUAAACUUCGAAAGAAUGGGAAGAAUAAAUGACGGUACCAUUUAUAAGCUCCGGCUAACUACGUGCCAGCCGCCGCGGUAAUAC